ensembl:lncRNA
UGUACAAAGGCUGUCUGGCAGCUCUAAUAUUAGCAUCCACACUGGAGCCGCUUCUUGGAGGCGACGCCUGUUUGCAUCUCUGCGUGGUGCUGAUGCUGCUGAUAACAUUCUUACGUCUGAUGAACCAAGCUGCUAUAAGCUCGGUCUGUGCAUGUCAGUGAACCGGCUGGCAGAAAUGAGACAAAACACAAUUCACUCAUCUGAGAGCGCGAGGAGAGGAAAAAGUCGCCAACAUUUCUGUACAGCGAAAAGAAGUCGUUUAUUCACAGGAAGCGACGAGGGGAAAACCGCUACGAUAUGGCUAAGGAACAAAUAUCAUUUAGUGAAGGUGCUGGUGUGGAGUUGUGUUCCCCGUGGUGUUGGCUCAGGCAGGCUCAGAGCUGCUUGUCACCGACGCAGUGAGCACUGCCACCAGCUGAUGCCAGGCUGCCCUGGGGACCAGCAUGGUGACAGCAGCAGUGGGGUAUGGCCGGGCCACCUGCCCCCCUCCCACUUCUUACCCCUGGGCUCUUACUCAGGCUGCCUCAGGACAAGGAAGUACGCCCAGCACUACACAAAGAAGUAAGCAGCAAUCACUGGCUUGCACAACCAUAGAAUCAUCAUAGAAUCAUAGAGUGGCUUGAGUUGGAUGGGACCUCAGGGAUCAUGAAGCUCCAACCCCCCUGCCGCAUGCAGGUUAGAAGAGCAUUCGGACCCAGACCAGCCAAAGCUCAUGACUAUUGCCAAGUCAUAGGCAUAGCAGAAAUGCUAACUCACAGCCUGAAGCAGUGAUUGAGCACCUGGUGGGAAGGCAGGGCCAACCCAGGGGAGCUCAGGUGCAUGCAAUGGAGCUGAGUAACCGGAAGCCAGGAUCCACCCCUUCCCAGACCUCAUUUAAGGGUUGGCAGUGGGGAGGUAAGGGAAUCUUGCUGGAGAUCCCUCCAUGCUAGAGUUCUUUUGGAGGUAAGCAGCUUCUUUUCUUUAUUUUUUGUGGCUAGGGCUGUUGUGUUUAGACAUAUUCUUAUUUGCUGUAGCCUCAGACUGCGCUACCCUGCUGUUGAUACUGUGCUUUCCAUCAGGUUACAAUAGGCUUGGAGAUCAGUAGGAUUGCUCACCUAUUUGUGUUCUGAGAAGUGCCGUGGAUGAGGUUUGUAGGGAGAGGCAAUGCCUUGUGUGAGGGGAACUAAUUUUACUGGGAAAGGAUGGGCAAGUUUUUAUGGAAACAAGUUCUAAGUAUGAGCUCUACUAAAGGUAUUUGCAUCUUGAGCAGAUAAGCGUUUGGGUUUAUGUGGCUCCUUUAGCCUUAGAGCACCUCAGGCCCAGUUUCCUCCCAGUUGCAGGCAGUUUUCUCACAGCAUCAUCACCAAGAUCAAAAUGGCUCUCUAGGUGUAUGUGUCUUUGUUUCCCAGGGCACCUGGGGCACAUCCUGAAGUAUGUGUCUGUAAUUCAGGAGGAUUUAGGACACCUGAUGUGUCGUGUAAUGCUAUAAAAUUACAUCCCAGAGCCUGGCUUUCAACAUUUAAAAUCCCGAGAGCCUAGAUGAAGUGAUUUUGGGUGGAGUCCCUUUGAGCUUCCUUUAAAUGGUUUUUAGGACAACGGUGAACUGUAACAUCAAGCAAACCUAAAAUCCUGGCUCUGCAUUCUCUAUACACUCAAUAUUCUAAUCCACCCCUGCAUAAUCUGCUCCAUCACAUGGCCUUUGGUGUAGGUGUGUAGCGCAGAUCCAACAACAGAAUGCUAUUAUGCACACACCCACAUGCUGCUUGCAGAUGGAGCAGUGCUGCUGUGCAACUUCUGCACAGAUGUUUAGCUGGAGCAUCCUCACCCCAUCACCCUUUGGUGUUCUCUGCCUCAGUACUGGCCAGGGAAGUGAUUUCCAUGGGGCAUGCUGUUGCUUGUGUUCUGCUCCCUGCUCUUAGUGUUUCAGCACAUUAGAGAAUGGAUGUACCAACUGCACUUGGUGUUAGCUGAAUGGAGGUCUUCCAGCUAGACGAGUGAGAGUGGAAAAUCAGAUGUCCCCUGCUUCAGCAUGCACAGCCAUCAGCUGGUGUUUUGGCUGUGUGGACACGAGCAACAGAAGAAGAGGACAUGGAUGAGGACUUCAAUUCAUUGCAUUUCACUCAGUAGUCCAUAGAAUUUAACAUACAAGGUUAUCUUUUAGUUCAGAGCCUGUUAGGGGGGUAUAACUCCAUUAAGAGUUAUACGGGAAACUUGACAAUCUUCCCAUUUCUUAUUUUCAAGAGAAAAAUCAGUGUUCUACUUGCACGGAGAACGGAAUCUUAUUUUCAUUUAUGCUAGAACUGCAAUUCUGAAACCAAAUGCCUUCCUUUAUAUUUGUCAGCCAUUACAAUAUGUGCCAAAUGCAGAGUUCCUGAAAAAGAAAGGACUGGUGAAUAAGUGCUCCUGCUGCCAAUAAAAUAAGUUGUGUUGUAGAGACUUAAUGGGAAACAUUUAGAAUAUUAAAAAAAAGCCAAAGUACCACAACCUCCAUUCACCAUUCAAAAGUAGCAAAAGGGACUGUAGCAAAACUGAUGGCAACUGUGCUUAUGACAAUGGUGAUGCAUACCAUAAUGGUACUUAUCUGAAGGAAACCUGUCUAAUUCUGACAUCUAUUUUAAAAUUGCUAUGUCACAUUAUCUGAUUAUCACAUAUCACAUUAGCUGAUUCCAAAAGCAGUUUCAUCAGCUCAGAAAUUUUUCAUAUCACUAGGGCUAUACAGAUGCAUGCAAAGGCAUGAUUUGAGUUGAGUUCUUGAAGUCAGAUCCUAAGCUAAAAGCACUGUUUUAUCAGGCAGAUUUUCUGGGUGCUCAUAAUGACAGAAGUAUUGUAAACCAUUCAUAGUGUUGAAGCUUUGGGAGUUGACCAGGCUUCACAAACUGGCUCUGUGACACCAUCAAGAAAAGAUGUGAUGGCAAAUUUCUAUUAAGUAUGACACAGAUAUCUGUGUGAGAGAAUUUCAUUGUCCCUGGCCUAGUGAAAAGCAGGUAAAACUGAAGCUGCCAUGCUCUUCUUUGGGCUGUUCUUAGUUCAGCUGGUGUGUAUUUGCUAUUCCCCACACAAAUGACUUAUUCAACUCAAGGACAAUUUGUCAGAAGUUUCUAUUCACCAGCAAAGCACAUUCUUACUCUGAAAUUCACACAUUAUUUAAAAGUUGUAAGCAGUUCACUGGGUCAUUAAAUCAAACUAAUGAAAUCAUUAAAUAUCUUCCCACUGCCAACAGGAAAGGAAAGAAUUUUAGGGUUUUCCCAAGGAUUUGAGAUGACAAACUUGCCAAUCGAUGCUUGUUGUGUAGUGAGCAGAGAAGAACUAAUUACAUGAUGGUUUUUCUUUUAAAUUUCAGAACAAAGAAAAUAUAAUAAAUGUUGAUCCUGGGAACUUGAAUAUGCUAUAAUCCAGAGUUCAUUAUGACUUCAGGGACUGCUAAUAGUAAUAAG